UGUGCUCUCGGCAUGUCUAGAGCACGCACAACACCUGUUCGAUGAAAUGCCAGGCAUCACCAAUGGACUCCAAGGCUGCUAAGAUUUACUAGGGUUAGGCUAGGGGCAUGGGAAGGUCUGGUGGACAUGAGGGUUUGGUUGGGGAAACAACUCCAUAGAGCAAAUCAAGAAUAAUGCCAAAUAUGUCUAUGCUCCCAAGGUGCUUGAUGAAAUGCCACAUGAAUAACUUGGUAAUGCAAUUGUUAGAGAAAAUCAUUUCUGAACAAAAUGUUCAGGCUAACAUCACAUGCAUUUAAAAUCAUUCAAUGGGGCUCAACUCAUGGAGUUAAGGUUUUGCUAGGGUGUCACACAAGCAUGCAAAAUCUAAAGGCAACCAGAUUAAGGAAAAACAUGGUUGUAGUACAAAGUACCAAACUGGAUCAAAGAAGAAAAAGAGUUGUUUUGCUAAAUUUUUCCAAGGCACAAGGUUGGAUUUUUUAUAAAAGUGAAU
rnacentral:lncRNA from 1 species